rnacentral:rRNA from 1 species
GCGAACGGGUGAGUAACACGUGAGUAACCUGCCCUUGACUCUGGGAUAAGCCUGGGAAACUGGGUCUAAUACCGGAUAUGACCAUCUGACGCAUGUCAUGGUGGUGGAAAGCUUUUGUGGUUUUGGAUGGACUCGCGGCCUAUCAGCUUGUUGGUGGGGUAAUGGCCUACCAAGGCGACGACGGGUAGCCGGCCUGAGAGGGUGACCGGCCACACUGGGACUGAGACACGGCCCAGACUCCUACGGGAGGCAGCAGUGGGGAAUAUUGCACAAUGGGCGGAAGCCUGAUGCAGCGACGCCGCGUGAGGGAUGACGGCCUUCGGGUUGUAAACCUCUUUCAGUAGGGAAGAAGCGAAAGUGACGGUACCUGCAGAAGAAGCGCCGGCUAACUACGUGCCAGCAGCCGCGGUAAUACGUAGGGCGCAAGCGUUAUCCGGAAUUAUUGGGCGUAAAGAGCUCGUAGGCGGUUUGUCGCGUCUGCUGUGAAAGACCGGGGCUCAACUCCGGUUCUGCAGUGGGUACGGGCAGACUAGAGUGCAGUAGGGGAGACUGGAAUUCCUGGUGUAGCGGUGAAAUGCGCAGAUAUCAGGAGGAACACCGAUGGCGAAGGCAGGUCUCUGGGCUGUAACUGACGCUGAGGAGCGAAAGCAUGGGGAGCGAACAGGAUUAGAUACCCUGGUAGUCCAUGCCGUAAACGUUGGGCACUAGGUGUGGGGGACAUUCCACGUUUUCCGCGCCGUAGCUAACGCAUUAAGUGCCCCGCCUGGGGAGUACGGCCGCAAGGCUAAAACUCAAAGGAAUUGACGGGGGCCCGCACAAGCGGCGGAGCAUGCGGAUUAAUUCGAUGCAACGCGAAGAACCUUACCAAGGCUUGACAUGAACCGGAAAGACCUGGAAACAGGUGCCCCGCUUGCGGUCGGUUUACAGGUGGUGCAUGGUUGUCGUCAGCUCGUGUCGUGAGAUGUUGGGUUAAGUCCCGCAACGAGCGCAACCCUCGUUCUAUGUUGCCAGCGCGUUAUGGCGGGGACUCAUAGGAGACUGCCGGGGUCAACUCGGAGGAAGGUGGGGACGACGUCAAAUCAUCAUGCCCCUUAUGUCUUGGGCUUCACGCAUGCUACAAUGGCCGGUACAAAGGGUUGCGAUACUGUGAGGUGGAGCUAAUCCCAAAAAGCCGGUCUCAGUUCGGAUUGGGGUCUGCAACUCGACCCCAUGAAGUCGGAGUCGCUAGUAAUCGCAGAUCAGCAACGCUGCGGUGAAUACGUUCCCGGGCCUUGUACACACCGCCCGUCAAGUCACGAAAGUUG